GAGUUUGAUCGUGGCUCAGGAUGAACGCUGGCGGCGUGCCCAAUACAUGCAAGUCGUACGAACAGCGGAAAGUGCUUGCACUUUCCAAGUAAGUGGCGAGCGGGUGAGUAACACGUGAAUAACCUACCUCAAAGUCUGGGAUAACCAUUGGAAACAGUGACUAAUACCGGAUAAAACCUAGUAGCACAUGCUACAAGGUUAAAAGCUGCGUUUGCAGCGCUUUAAGAUGGAUUCGCGGUGCAUUAGUUAGUUGGUGAGGUAAAGGC
rnacentral:rRNA from 1 species